UAGAUGGGUCUCCGGACACCGGGGUAUA
rnacentral:sRNA from 1 species